GAGGUGGGCGUCUUCUUUUGUUCUGGAAAAGAACCCACAGAUUUGUGGAGAUGAAACUAUGGUGAGGUACCCAGCAGUCUCUGGCUGGUGGGUGUCCUUCUGUCAGAUCCUGGGAGGAUGAAAGCCCUAUUUCAGAAACACCAGAGCCUAUGGGGGCAUUUCCAGAACUGGGCAGUUGGCUCCUCCAUUAACAGAUAAUAACACUGGCGUUGGCCCAACUCUGUUGACUAAGCCAUGCACAACCCACAGGGUGGAACACGCCAGUCCGAGGCCUGUGGGAAGGGGAUUGUUGGAGGUUCCAGGUUUAAGGAAGGGCUCCUCUCGUUCGGUAGUGUUCAGCGGACCCCCAGGAGCUGGGCCGGUAACUGUCCAGAGAAACUGAAUGCGGGAAUCUUCCAAAUGCCCCCAGUAGGAAAGACGAGCGCAAAGGUCUUAGCGUGGCGCUGGGUAUUGGCCACGCUUCUGAAGAGGAAGAAGGAGAGGGAAGGCUGCACUGGCCCCGAAUUCACAGGACCCAGUGAGCAGCUGGAUUUCAAGUUGAGGAUGCAAGCCCAGACCCAGAGUGAGCCCCAGCCCACACUUCUCUCUCCUGGACUUCCCAAAAAUUCCAACUGAACCUCAACACCUCAAGAUCCCUUCAGCCUGAUGGGAACCUGCCAUCAACCCGCCAUUGUAUGAAAAGACCUGUUCCAGCACGUCUUGAGCGUUCAAGACAAAAUGGUUAUGACCGUUGUUCAAGCAUGGCAAAGAAGUAUGAGCGACGCUGGUCUGCAGAGUGAGGUCCACACUCUUCAGCCUGGUGUAUGAGGGCCUCCAACCUCACCUCUGGGUUUGCCACACAGCUCCUUCCAAAUAGCAAGUGUUUUCAAGAGGCCUCGCCUUUGCAUAAGCCCCUAGGAUGCCCUUCCUUCCAACUGUUAAGCUCGUGAACCCCAAAAACCUGAACCAAAUGUAACCAAUGCCACAGUGGAGCCAUUCCAGGCCGACCUUGCAGGGAGGUCCUGGGGGCCCCCACCAGCCUGCUGGCUUCCCUGUCAGUUCCCUUCGAAAUGCAGAGGCCCUCCUUCCCUGCGGGCCUCCCCUCUGGCUGGGAACACCCUGCAGGGGAUGAGGCAUCUGCAGACCUGUCCUGCAGUGGGACCUGGGGCCUGGGGCAGGCCUGGGAGGCAUUUUGUUCCUGUCCCGGAAUGGUGAUCACCUUCCUUUUUGCACAAUAGUCCCUUGUUCUCUUAAUUCGUCUUCGGCUGGUCGUGCCUAUGAGGUUUCAUGUCUUCCAGAACAAGCCCCACUUGUUCACCCAUGAGCCAGGCUGCUCUGAGUGGACACCCAGUAAAUGCUAAAUUGAACUAACUCAAAGAGGAGAAAAGUUAGGACAGCAAGCUUCUGGCAAUUAUCUCAGAACUCCAAGGAGAUGACUCAACAAAGACCAGCAGAAUGCAAAGAAGAUGGGAGGACAUUGUCAAUCUGACCAGUCAGAUGUGGGAGAGAAAGGGCAAGACAAAGCUGGAGGUGACAAGUUUCAGGUCUCAUUGAAGGGUCUCAAAUUUAUUUACAAGAGACUGAAUGAGAGACUGGAAAUAAUCAUUAUAAAACAAGCAGAAAAGUAAGAUUGCCAACACGUUUCCUAACAUUCAGGCCAAGUUCACGGUGUGCCUACAUGGGUGUUUCCAGGCAUGUGUUAGUCCUGGGGCUGCCGCAACAGAUUGCCACAAACUGGGUGACCUGAAACAACAGGAAUUUAUCCUCUUACAGUUCUGGAGGCCAGAGUCUGAAAUUAAGGCAUCGGCAGGACCAGGCUCCUGGGGAAAAUCCUUCCUGCCUUCUCUUGGCUUCUGGUGGUCACCAGCAAUCCAGCUGAUGCCGGCUCAACACCAGGUUGACGUGAGGGAAGCCAUAUUACAGAAAAGAAACCCUAUUGUAACUUUGAAUGACCUCUGACUAACUGACCCAGACAUGCUCUGUGGAUUUUAUGGCCCCUCCCAGCUGCUACAAGUUGAUAACUUUGUUCUUUUGAGUUCUUUAGGAAUGUGAUGACCCCUGGGCAGAGUCUAUGCUGACAGCCAUCAUCAAUGACAACUGAAAGAUCAGGGUAUAGGGUGUUGCUUCAGUAUCUGAUGUGUAUCAAGUAAAACAAAAGACUGUCAGGAACUAAGACCAGCUGCCUCCUCCACCCAGAGACCAGCCCUCUAUAUAACUGGCCUGUAAUCUUUGCUCUGUAAGAUGGUUCUUUUGGACAUGAGUCUGCCAUCUUCCCUGUUGCUACCAAGCUGUAAUAAAAAGUCUUUUCUCUCCUA